CACUUUGAUCAGCUCUCUCUUCGUUUCUUUUUUACUCUUUAUUAUUCUCUCUUUUUCGAUCUCUCCCCUUCGUCUGUGUGUGCGUGAAUAUUGUUGUUUGUUCUUGUGUGCAGGUGUAGGUAUUAUUGUCGUUCUGUGAGUGGGAUCUUUCGUGUGUGUAUAUGAAUUAUGUUAAUGGAAAUGUGAUCUGUGUCUUUUGUGAUGUGAGUGUAUGUGUAUGAUGAGAAAUUGAGGAUAUAUGGGCUUCUCUUAUAAUUUCUAGUGAAGUGUCUUUUCUUCUUUGUAAUGGGAAUUGUGGGUGUAUGAAUAUGGUGAAUGGAAGAAGGAAAAAGAAAAUCCAGAAAGAUGAUGAGUGUCUGUGUCGUGUAUAUUCUGUGUAUGUAAUAUUUUUUGUGUUGCUGUGUUAGUGAGUCUUGUGAUGUUGUGUAUUCCAGUGGGGUAUCGCUUAUCAUUGUGUGAGUGGGUAUGUGUAUUAGUAUUGUCUUUUUAGUCAAAGAAGAGAAAAAUAUAAAAUGGUAGUCGAGUUUUUGUAAGUUAAAUAGUUGUUGUGAUUGUCAGGUAGUGGGUGGGAUAAGGUGGGGGUAGGGGAUAGGUAGGGGUAGGUAAAUAGGUAAAAAUUAUUUUGGAGAGAAAAAAUAUUAUGUGUCUACAUCAUGCCCCCUUUGAAUGUAAACACAAACUAUUUUUAAACAAAGAAGUAGACAACGAGAUAGAAUUUUAUCCCAAUCAUUAUUCAAAAGAAAGAAACAAAAUGGAGAAGGUCAAUUGAGUCUUGAUUUUGGGCAUUCUACCUGUCUCAAGUUAUGUUAGAGUCGGUUCACAGAUAUCUCAAAUGAUUGGAAGGAGGGGGACUAUGCCUUGUUGGAGAGUUGAGUGGGAUCCUGUCGAGGUUUUGGUCCGCGGCUCUGCUAUUCAUCAAAGUUAAACAUUACAAGUUAAAAGAUAACUGAAAUUACGAAAUUCCUAUUUAUGCAGCUUCUUUUGGACUCUUGACUUGAGUUUCUGAUCUUUCAAAAUGUACAAAAGAUCUGAACUUCUUUGGGUUGAACUUAAGAAUAGAUACUUUCUCCAUACAAAAUUUGAUAUUUUAAGAUAAAAUCAUAAACUGACCAUGCUCUGUCGGUGGUACUUCUGAACCUUGAUCCUGAAUUUGAAAAUCUACACCUUAUUCUUUAGGCGGGCUCUAGACUUACAAUUUCUUCACUUUGUUGCUUGACUUUUAAUUUCUUCACCCUGUUCUUCAGGUGGGCUCCUGACUUUCAUUCUCAUCACUCUGUUCUUCAGGCAAGCUCCUAACUUACCAUUUCAUCACCCUGUUCCUUAGGCGGGCUCCUGACUUGCCAAUUCAUCACCCUGUUCUUCAAUAGGGCUCCUGACUUUAAAUUUCAUCACCCUGUUCUUUAGGCGGGUUCCUGAAAUCAAAAUCAAAACUAGAACGAAAAUUAUCCCUAACAAGGAUUAUGAUAAAGAAAGAUUUCAUUUUUCUAAAAGUAAUGUCCCAUUUUCCAGGAGGGUCCGGAACAUAAAGUAAUGCCCCCGUUUUCCAGGAGGGUCUAGAACAUAAAGUAAAUUUCCAUUAUUCAGGAGGGUCCUGAAAAGAAAGUAAAUUCUCAUUUUUCAGGAGGGUCCUGAACAUAAAAUAACUUCCCAUUUUCCAGGAGGGUCCUGAACAUAAAGUAAUGCCCCGUUUUCUAGGAGGGUUCUAAACACAAAGUAAAUUUCCAUUUUUAGGAGGGUCUUGAACAUAAAGUAAAUUUCCAUUUUCCAGGAGGGUCCUGAACAUAAGUAAAUUCCCAUUUUCCAGGAGGGUCCUGAACAUAAAGUAAUGUCCCAUUUUCCAGGAGGUUCCUAAACAUAAAGUAAAUUCCCAUUUUCCAGGAGGGUUCUGAACAUAAAGUAAAUUCCCAUUUUUCAGGAGGGUCCAGAACAUAAAGUAAUGUCCUAUUUUCCAAGAGGAUCUUGAACAUAAAGUAAAUUCUCAUUUUCUAGGAGGGUCCUGAACAUGAAAUAAAUUUUCAUUUUCCAAGAGGGUCCUGAACAUGAAGUUAAUUUCCAUUUUCUAGGAGGGUUCUGAACAUAAAGUAAAUUCGCAUUUUCUAGGAGGGUUCUGAACAUAAAGUAAAUUCCCAUUUUCCAGGAGGGUCCUGAACAUAAAGUAAAUUUCCAUUUUUCGGGAGGGUCCUAAACAUAAAGUAAAUUCUCAUUUUCCAGGAGGGUCCUGAACAUAAAGUAAAUUCUCAUUUUUCGGGAGGGUCCUGAACAUAAAGUAAAUUUCUAUUUUUCGGGGGGGUCCUGAACUGAAGUAAGUUCUCACAUUUCAGGAGGGUCCUGAACAUAAAGUAAACAUUCUCAUUUUCUAGGAGGGUCUUGAACAUUAAGUAAAUUCUCAUUUUCCAGGAGGGUCCUGAAUAUAAAGUAAAUUCUAAACAAUAGAAAUUAAAAUUUGCUUUUUUCCCCUGUUUAUCAUCAAAAUCUUUUGCGGGUGUCAAACUUAAUCACAACUACUUGCAACAAUGCAUAAUGCAAAGAUGAAUCAAGAUUCUAAUCAACAAAUGCACCCUUUUGAGGGUAAAAUUACAUGGCUGAGACCAAAAAGUCCCUCUCUUAAGAGUGAAAGUGAAAGAUAAUUGCUAAAAGUACUUCUUUUUAGGAUUAACGACUCAAAUUAGGAAGUGCAUCUCCUAGCCAUGAGACAUGAAAGACCCAUAUUAGAGAAUGUGUAUCUUAGGGAUAAAAGAUAAUGAGUUUUACCAUAAUUGUGAUUUCCAAACCUGUACAGCAACAUCUCUUGCAUUUCAAGAAAUGAGGAAUUGUACCUCUAAAUAUUCGUGCUUUGAAGCCUUUGAUUUGAAGGUAGCAACUGUUCCUGUUUCAUACAAAGAAAACUUGUGAGUUUCAACAUGGUGGUUGACUUGCAGCUUUUGCUUUUGAGGAGAUUGCUCUUGCACUUCUGACAUUUAAUCUUGCUUCCAACUUAUGGCACAUCACUAUCAUGUUGUACCAUUGAUCCAAACUCAGGUUAUUAUGAGUGACUCUGAAACAAACACGAUAUCUUGGUUCUGCUAGGUUUCAGAAAAAUUUCUUGAACCUUGGUAUUUCCAUAAAUCCCCCAAACUUGCUUGUUGACAAAACUUUCUAUAUGCCUUGUUUCGGUUCACGAUCAUGCUUUUUUCAUGUACUGGCCUUUUUUGUCUUGCUUUGUGCAAUUGAAGAUGUUGGUAGCCAAUUUUGAAAUCUUUUCUCACUUGUUUCGACAUGUACUUGACUCAAAAGACAUGAGAAAAAAUUAUUUUUUGUUCGAAUGACAGACUCAAAAGAGCAAAUAUAGAAAUAUAAAGAGGAAAGAUUGAUCUGAAGGUCUUUCUUUGGUUGUAACUUAGCUUUCGAAUAAGGUUAGAAAGAAAUGAUAGCCUGAGGCCCAAACGACACUUGAAGUGGGGUAAGACUUACAACUUUUGAAAUCAACUCAAACAAUGAGGAUUAACUCAUGCCCCAAUUUAUUUUAACUGGGCAACUCAAAAUUAUUUAUUUGGUUGGACCGAGCCCGGAGUAGGGCAGCCUACAUAUCUUACCCACCGAGAGAGAAGAAUUAGGUCACGCCCUAGUUCUGACGGGUUAUUCUUUUGCUUGAUUCUGAAUUCUCUUCUUUUUUAAUUGACUCUUUUUUCUCUUUGAAAUCUUUUCUGACUCUAUUUUUCUUAAAACUCUUUUCUUUUCUUUCCUUUUUUUUGAGAAAUCUUCUCUCCUUUUUUUUAAACUCUUCUGACACUAUUCUUUUGCUCAACACUUUUCUUUGAGCUUUGCGAACUCUAUCUUGAUUCUAAAAGAGGGAUAUGAAAGAAAAUAAAACUAAAGCUCAAAUGGGGUAAAUAAAAGAUGACAUAAUAUUUGGAUAGCAGAAUGAAAUGCCUUCGUUAUACCAAUCCUUAAAAAUGCAAGUGCAUAACAUGCAAAAUGAAAAUGAGAAAUGAAGAUCAUUUGUGACACAUUUUAGAGCACUAACUUGCCCUAAGCAUCUGUGUUACUACUUCUGCACUUGUCCAACAUACAACUCCACAUUUAUUAUACGUCCCUCACAUCGAAUGACUCGUGCUUUGGUGGAGCUAGUUAUAUUCCUUUUUCUCUUGAUAUAGGAUCAUGCAUUCACUACUUGACCUAAUUGAGAUGUACCUUUCAAUUGACGAUCAAGUUAUUCUUGUGAUUCUCAAAAUAAUUGCCCUGAUUUUUAAAGAAGGCUUCAGCUUGAUCAUCAAAUGCCUCAACACUCUACCCAUUUUCUUAGAUGUUCUCUUUUCCUAACUUUAGCCCUCUGAUUCAAUGUUUAAUGAUUAAAACUGAAUUUUAAGAUCUGACUGAAAAUUCCACAAGCAUGUAAUAACACUAGAAUCCAACAUAAAAUGUAUUGUAUAAAGAAAACAAACAAACAACUUAAAAUAAGACAAAACGACAAGGGACACCACAUUUCAUUGAAAGAAAAAAUAGAAGGAUUUAAACAAAGACGAUAGAGAAACAAAACAAGAUAGAUUUCGAACUACAACACUGAAAUAAUUUGAAAAAAUAGAAAGAAAAACAAAACAAACUACCAACAAUCCUUUCAAGUAAGGAGAGGGGUGACUUCCAAAUUGUAGAGCUUGACAUCUUAGCCACUGAUUUGCAUAUCAUUAUGACUAAAGCUUUUACCGCUAUCCGACACAUUCCCUUCAACAAAUAAGUUCUGAAUCCUCAUGCUUGACACAUUGCUUCCCAUAUAUUGUGCAUUAUCAUGUGAUGGUGAAGGAUUUUAUGUGACCUUUGUAGUGUCAAUAUUUUGCACUACAAUUAAUUUUUCUUGGAUCAUCUUUUCUAUUUCUCUUUUCAAAGCAUUACAACCUUUAAUACUGUGACCCUAAACAUCAGAAUGAUAUACACAUCAUACAUGAGGAUUAAAAUUUCUUGAAUGUGGAUCAGGAGUACACCCAAGGAGAGGAGUGAUUAUGCCCAACUCUUUCAAUCUCUAGAAUAAAUUGGCAUACAACUCCUCAAUUGGUGUAAAAUUAUCCCUAGGCUUCAUGUUAAGAAAUUUUGGUGGUCCAAUUAACAUUGAUGUGGGCUCAGGAAUAUAACAAUAAUCAUCAAGAGUAUUGAACAUUCAUUCACUAGCAACCUGGGAAAGCACAACCGUUGGACGAAUAGCCAAUAUGGAAGCCUCAGUAGAGGCUUGAGCAAAAAAAUCACAAAUGAUAGAUGGUGCUAUUAUAUGACAUAUUUACAUCGAAAAGCUGGAGAAUGAGUGGUGAAAGCAUUAGGAUGCUUUUGUCUUGGAGUGAAUUUUGAGGCAUGUUGUUGUGCAUCAACAACAAUAAAAAAUUGACUUCGCAAUUGUGAUGGAAGACUAAAGGUAUUUGCGGGGUCAAUAGCAAAAAAUAGAGGGGGAGCCAACCUACUGACCCAAGCUAGGUGCAUUUUCAUAAUUUGUUGUCUUAGUUUCACAAUCUCUUGCUUUAAAUUCUCAUUUUUCUAACUCUUUGACUGAUCUAUGAUGUCACUCUCUAUAUCCUUAUUGGACAUGACUAACUCUUUUUUAGGCUUGGUGUGAUGUGGAGGACCAGCCACAAUGCCACAAACCAAUCACCUUAAACAAACUGAACAAGAGAUAACAAAUGCGUUAGAAUUCAACCCUUUCUCAAAAUCUUUUUCUUUUUUUUCUUUUGAAAAGAUCACUGAACCCAAGAAGGGCGCCUACGUAUCUCACUCUUGAGAGAAGAGAACCAGGUGUGUGUAGUUCAAGAAGUUUUGGUACAAUAUGGUUGAUCAAACUCUCUUUCUUUUUCUACUUUUUUUUUCUUUGAAACUUUGAAGAGAAAAAGAAAAUAACAAAUUGUCAAAAGAAUUGACGAAAAUAUUUUUUGAAUCUUUCAGUUUUAAACUCCUUAUAUAAAAUGAAACCUAUGAUUAUCAAAAUAUCUUUUUUUCUUGGGAAGGGGGGGGAGGGUCAAUUUUAAAUUUCAUACGAAAAUGAGACUUGAAACUAUUACAGAAAAAUCUUUUUGUAGUUUUCUUUUAAAAAAGGUAUAUGACAGCUACUCUAAAUGAAGAGUGAAGAAAAUGUUUUUGAAUUUUUUUUAAAUAUGAUCACCGAACCCUAGAAGGGAUGCCUACGUAUCCAGCCCCAAAGGAAAGAAUCAAGUGUACAUAGUUCGUCCAGAUUGGACAAUUAAGGAUUAAAAAACAAACUAAACCUUGACUUGAGAGACACGACUACAACUAUGAAAAUAAAAUCUUUUUGGGGUUUUCAAUUUGAUACUUCACAUAAAACUGACACCAACAAAUAUGAAAGAAAUUUUUUUUUGGUAUUUUUGUUAUAAGAGAUGUACAAAACUCCUACCAUCUUUAGAUUUUCUUUUAUAAAAAGCUCCUAUUAAGGAAAAAUCUUUCUUUGAAAUUUUAGAAUUAUGAAUGCUUACUAAAGAAACCAAAGAAAAAUCUUUUUGAUGUUUUUCUUUUUGAAAAAUGAGUACAAAAGAUUAAAAAAAAAUUAAAUUUUUGUUAAUUUGAGAAGAUAAAUGCAAAAGGUAAAAAAUCUUUUUUUGAAUUUUUGAGUUGUGAAGAACAAAAGCCAUAACAAACUAUAAAAAUAAACUAUAAAACUCUUUUUUGAUUCACCUUUUCUUCUUCUUUUUUUCCUUUUUUUCAAUAUUUUUUUUACUACACUCUUUACUUCUGACACAUAAUUUUUUCAAAUCAGUCCAUCAAAUGACCUCGUCACCCUAAAAAAUGCAUCAUUUAGAACGUAAGCAUAUUUUUAAGGUGAGUCUCCUAUAAAAGAUCAAGUGGGUCCCAUUAGGUCUCAAUAUGAUGCAGAUAAACAUGACCUAAAGGUUGACCUACGCUGGAGUUCACUAACAAGGUCGUUCGGGGAAGCAUAUGGCCGAUAGUGGCUGUUUUGUUUUUCACCUACUCCAUACAUCCGAUGGCUCCCCCUCCUAAAAUAAGGAUGACUCAACUAGAGUUCGUGUAUACUACGUGCACUCCGAAACUUGUUGUAGAAAAAAAUUGACUCAGGGUAUGUAAAUGAUGCCAGAUAUAAAACGGUAACACAUAAAAGGAAAAAUUGUAAACACGUAGCAAGUAGGCACUCAACAAUGAUAAAAUAAAUACAAACAAUAACACAAACGACGACUAUACACCCAUAACAUCAAACUAAGCCGAUAUAACUCCAAAAAUAAGCUCGACUUCUGAAAAGAUCCCCAGCAGAGUCACCAAACUGUCACACCCUCUUUUUAACCAAAAGAAAUAAUUUUAAGUUUGAAAAGAAUAUUAUUAUUAAGUGACAAAAGAUGAAAAUUCAUUUUGAAAAGGAUUUUUGCAAUUAAAUUCAGAGUCAUCACUUGAUAUAAAUCGGAUGUACCAAGUCACCUUUGAAAAUCCUUUUUCAAAAUGGUUUUUGACUCUUUCAAAACUGAUCCACGAACAAAGAUUUCAGGUAAGAAAUUCUGUUGAUCAAAAGAAAAGUGUUAAGCACCCCUCGAUCCCGUGGUUCGACCACGGUCGCUUUGCAGAGUAUAUCGGCUAUGUAGACACCAUAAAUCUAUAAACAACAAAAACACAAACAAGACAAACAAGCAACCAAACAAUCAAAAGUCCAAAAAAUAAUAUCCAGUUCAACUUAUUACAACCCAAAAUAAAAUAUUGAAAUUAAAACCUAAAGUAUUGUAACUAUCCUAGCUAUGCUUUACUCAAUGCCUCAAGCCUUGAUCACGAGCCUCCUCCGCGUACAAGAUACUUUGGGUCAUUCCCCAAUAAAUAAAUACAAAUGACAUUGAGGCAUUCUCCGACUAAAUGAAUACAUCUUUUCAAUGCGACAAAAUAAAAUCAUUCAAACCAUUCAAGCAUUCAACAAUCAUUAUUCCUAAGUCUUGACUACCCAAAGCUUACGACUUUCCUAUAAAUUUCGGCCUAUAACAUGAUACUAUUGAGUUCGACAAUAUAGUGUCCAUUUCAAAUUAAAUAAUAAUUUAAUGAAUUAAACUAACCGACAUCCACCUUUUUUAUCAAUUUUUCAUUCAUACCCCCACGAUUAACAAAUUUUGACUUAAAGUGACCAAUCAAACUACGAUAAUUACGGAUAAACUCAAACGCAUUCAAAUAAAUCACCAAAUCAUGUCAUCAAGCACGUUAAGAUAAAAAGAGUAGAGUUAAGAAUUAGGACCUUAAAAAUAAUUAAUUUUUGUUGAUAAUAAUGAGUUAAUAAGGCCCAAACUCAAAAUUUCGAAUAAAAAACCUCAACAGCAAACAAAAAUCCAACUCUUCAUCGAGAAAUAUAAUCUGAAUAGAUUUGACACCGACAGAAAAACCCUGAAUCAACGAUUUCUAAUCGACCGUAAACUAACCCACUGGAAUCAGAGUUGGUUGGCUGUUUGUGACUCACGGAGCUUUGGUAGACUACUUAGCCACGAACUGAGGGUCUCUCCGACUAGAUCUCACCAAAAAAAAGCCAAAAACAGAUGAGGGCUGGGGAUUUCAAGAAGCUGCGGGUGAUGGGAUUUAACAGGAACGCCGAUUUCGAUGAUAAACUCGCCGGAGACAGUCAACUCCAUCCGUUUUCCCCUCUCUCUCCAUUUUUCUCUUCUCCUCUGACUAGAUCUCUCUGUUUCUGUCUUACUCCAACCAGCUCUUUCUCUGUUUCUCUCUUACUCUUUGUCACUCUCUCUUUCUCAAUCUCUCCCCUUCCUCUGUGUGUGCGUAAAUAUUGUUUUUUGUUCUUAUAUGCAGGUGUAGGUAUUAUUGUCGUUCUGUGAGUGGGGUCUUCUGUGUGUGUAUAUAAAUUGUGUUAAUGAAAAUGUGGUCUGUGUCUUUUGUGAUGUGAGUGUAUGUGUAUGAUGAGAAAUAGAGGAUCUGUGGGAUUCUCUUCCAAUUUCCAUUGAAGUGUCUUUUCUUCUUUGUAAUGGGAAUUGUGGCUGUAUGAAUAUGGUGAGUGGAAGAAGGAAAAAAACCCAGGAAGAUGAUGAGUGUAUGUGUCGUGUAUGUUCUGUGUGUGUAAUAUUUUUUGUGUUGCUGUGUUAGUGAGUCUUGUGAUGUUGUGUAUUCUAGUGGGGUCUCGCCUCUCCUUGUGUAAGUGGGUAUGUGUAUUAGUAUUGUCUUUUUAGUCAAAGAAGAUAGAAAGAUAAAAUGGCAGUAGUAAGUCAAAGAGUUGUUGUGAUAAGGUGGGGGUAUGGGAUAGGUAGGGGUAGGUAAAUAGGUAAAAAUUAUUUUGAGAGGAACAAAAUUAUGUGUCUACAAUUAGUAGUAAUAUAUCAUGUUCGCCUGUUGUAACAAGUAAUUUGUCUAAUUUUUAGAAUUAUAAAUUUUACUUCGUACAAGAGAUAUAUUUAUAAAAUACAUUUUCAUCGAGCGAUUCUUGACUCCCUAAUUAAAAACUUAAGGAUCGUUUGGUAGCUGGUAAAAAAAAACUUAUUCAUAUAUUUAUUUUUUAUAAGUUUUACAAUGUUUGAC
rnacentral:lncRNA from 1 species